GAUGAACGCUGGCGGCGUGCCUAAUACAUGCAAGUCGAGCGAAUGGAUUAAGAGCUUGCUCUUAUGAAGUUAGCGGCGGACGGGUGAGUAACACGUGGGUAACCUGCCCAUAAGACUGGGAUAACUACGGGAAACCGGGGCUAAUACCGGAUAACAUUUUGAACCGCAUGGUUCGAAAUUGAAUGGCGGCUUCGGCUGGCAUUUAUGGAUGGACCCGCGUCGCAUUAGCUAGUUGGUGAGGUAACGGCUCACCAAGGCAACGAUGCGUAGCCGACCUGAGAGGGUGAUCGGCCACACUGGGACUGAGACACGGCCCAGACUCCUACGGGAGGCAGCAGUAGGGAAUCUUCCGCAAUGGACGAAAGUCUGACGGAGCAACGCCGCGUGAGUGAUGAAGGCUUUCGGGUCGUAAAACUCUGUUGUUAGGGAAGAACAAGUGCUAGUUGAAUAAGCUGGCACCUUGACGGUACCUAACCAGAAAGCCACGGCUAACUACGUGCCAGCCGCCGCCGUAA
rnacentral:rRNA from 1 species